GAUUAUAACUGCAUGGUCUGCAAAAAUGAAUCGAAAUAGCAGAAGACAAGUAAAAUAAUCAGGGUCAUGAAAUUUGUUGCUUGUCAUUUUCAUUUCAAUUCUAUUCCAUCGUUUUUUUUUUC
rnacentral:ribozyme from 12 species